ACUGGCGAGGAUGACAUACACUUGCCCUCACUUAGACCAUCGUUCAUUGAUGAGAGUGCCUAGUGUUCUGAGCCCGU
ensembl:snoRNA